GAUGAACGCUGGCGGCGUGCCUAAUACAUGCAAGUCGAGCGAACAGACGAGGAGCUUGCUCCUCUGACGUUAGCGGCGGACGGGUGAGUAACACGUGGAUAACCUACCUAUAAGACUGGGAUAACUUCGGGAAACCGGAGCUAAUACCGGAUAAUAUAUUGAACCGCAUGGUUCAAUAGUGAAAGACGGUUUUGCUGUCACUUAUAGAUGGAUCCGCGCCGCAUUAGCUAGUUGGUAAGGUAACGGCUUACCAAGGCAACGAUGCGUAGCCGACCUGAGAGGGUGAUCGGCCACACGGGAACUGAGACACGGUCCAGACUCCUACGGGAGGCAGCAGUAGGGAAUCUUCCGCAAUGGGCGAAAGCUUGACGGAGCAACGCCGCGUGAGUGAUGAAGGUCUUCGGAUCGUAAAACGCUGUUAUUAGGGAAGAACAAAUGUGUAAGUAACUAUGCACGUCUUGACGGUACCUAAUCAGAAAGCCACGGCUAACUACGUG
rnacentral:rRNA from 1 species